CUGAGAUAAGAUGUUUAUCUCAUGGUGUUGCCGUAAAGGUGGAGAAUGAAUCAAAUAAACCUCUAAUAGUUUUACCCAGGUCAAGUUUAAUACCUUCACGGAAACAACAUAGUUUUAUUUUACAACAAGAACAGACAACUCUUCGUAUGGAGAUAUAUGAAACAGAUUCAGAUAAUCAAUGUCAAGAUUUAUUAGCCAAGAUAAUUAUGAGAGAUUUACCUGCUGGUGCAACAAUACAAUCCAGUUUUCAUCUCAGAAGGGACGGAGAUCUUCACAUAACUUGUCACGAAACAACGUCGCAGAAAGAAGAAUCAGUAACCAUAGCAAUCAGUUGACCAAUCAGCAACUAGUUCAUAUUAUUAUAAAUUCAUAUUUAUCUUGGCCAGUACAGAACUUCAUCAUUUGUUAAUCAGGCUGACAUCUUUCACCAGAAAUUAUUUUUGUUUUAUCAAAUUGUUUGGGAAAUGUUUCACGCUUAGGCAAAUUUUGUUUCCCGUGUUUAUUUUACAUGUACCGUUAUUAACGAAGACCUAUCUCUCAUCAAACACGCGCUGUUUAUUUUACAUGUACCGUUAUUAACGAAGACCUAUCUCUCAUCAAACACGCGCUGUUUAGAACCGACUCUAGGCUUAAAAAUAUUCUUCCUUUUUGCAUGGAUAUUUAUUCAGGAGAAAAAUAUAUACGUGAUGACUAAAUUCGGAAACCAGUAAGGAAGAAAAUGUUCUCCGUUUAAACAUUGAUUGGUACAGGUCUAGACUGUUAACAGAUAAGCUUAAGUUAAGAAUUUACUCAAAAUUAUUCGCCUUAUAGCCCAUUAUAAAACUUUUGUAGAUUUAAUGUAUCAAAUACAUCAAUAAGAAACUAUGUGCAAAGUUGUGUGUUUCUAGAUCAAAGAUAUUUUUCAUAACAGUGAUUGAAAGUUGAGUAAAUUCUGAACUCAAGUCUGAGUGGUCUUUGUGAACUCAGGGCCCUUGGUCUUUGUGAACUCGGGGCCUGUGGUCUUUGUGAACUCGGGGCCUGUGGUCUUUGUUUUCUAAACCUCUUUAAUUUUUUGGUAGCUUUUCUUUGUGAAACGAAAUGAAAUGGGGUUUAAGGUCCUGCUUUUCUGCACUGACUGGGCUACUGCAGUAUGCUAUGAGGGAAAUUUUGCCCAGGCAGCCAACACAGCAUAAAGGACCUCCAGGUUAUCAAGCCCGUGUCUUCCACACGGAGCAACCGGGGCUACGUUUCUUCCUAAACAUUAUUGCUAAGACAGGGGGGGGGGGAAUGGUUAGCAUGUGCGCAUAUUAUCAUACGGUCUGUCAUUGAGUCAACUGGCAUGGGUUCGAUUCCCCAGUUGUAUGUGACAAGGAGUAGGGUUUGAAUUUGAUAUAAGAGUAGGCCGCAGUGCCGCUGUCCGGACGAAACAUCCCUCAUCGCGCAAUGUAUGACGUAUGCCCAUCUUCAUUAGCCCAGUCGGAGCAGAGCAGUAGGACGUUAAAUCACAUUUCAUUUCUGUUUAAAUUAUUAUUUUCUCCCGUCAAUACAUAGUAAGCAAAAUUUCCAAUAGGUGUGUACUGACUUUCAGUUAAAGUUUCUUCAUUGAUCGUUAAUUAAUUUGAUUAAUGUUAUAGUUUUGUUGCCAUGACAACAAACAAUAACUGCAUGUCGAACAGUGUUUGUGUUUUAGGAUAUAAGUAAAUGUAGUUACAGUCUGUUUGAUGCCCACCUUAAGAUGUGAAGAGUGUAUAAUAUUUUUUUUUGUAUAAAUGUAAAAUAAAUUACCAUUUAACUUUAUUAUGU